GUAAGAGUUGAUCUGAGGGUGUUUGAAACCAGCCAGAGGGAGAAAGGAUGUACCUCCUUUCUUCUGCAAGGAUUUUUUCCUGUGAACUAUAAAGAAGGGGUAUAAGAAUACAGUUUUUCUGAGAAAUAAUUUUUAAAAAUCAAUUUUUAAAAAUUUAUUUAAAAGGUGUUUUUUUUUGUAAACAGCAAAAAAAGAGAGAAUAUUUAUAUUUUUUUUUCUUAGGAGUUUUUGGAAGGAAUUUAUUUUUAUUAAGAAUAAGGCCCAAGAUGUGGUCCUGCCUUUAGGGACUAUAGAUCAAGAUAAGACUGCAGUUAAGUGACUCCAAAUCUCUUAACUCUCUAAUAAAAGUUUGUGCUUAAGGAAUUUCUCAAUCCUGACUAAGGCUGGAGCACAGAAAUCUAUUUUCUCCCAGAUUUCAGAGGAAAUAUAGGAGAGCUUUGGGAGCAGUACAAAAAGACUAUUUGGAGGUCUGAGAAGAGAAGGGUCCUUGAUUUCACCACUAAAUCAUGCCCCAAUAAGGGGGCAGGAUAGGAGGGAAUAAUAAGGAACGAGCAUUUAAAUGACAGAUCACCAAGCUAUUCGAGGCAGAAGAGAGGCCUCAAGGCAGCUUUUAAGUUUCCCUGCAAUCCCCACUCUAUAGGGGAAGGGGAGAGACCAGAAUGCUAGAGCAAGAGUGAAGGAGAACCCCCUCCCAUAGCAAAAAGAAGUUCAAGGGUCUUACCAGCCACCAGGUGUUGGACUGUCAGGUGUUGGGCUGUUGUGGUGGAGUGAGGGGGAGCUUGACCAAGCCUCAAACUCCUGCUGGAGGGCAGGGCCUUGGGGGUGAGGGGGAGCUCAUCCCCUGGAAGCAAUCUCCCCUCCAGUGCUGCUCCUACUCAAACUCAGGGCAAGGACUAGGGGGCUUCUUCAGACAGAUUCCAUGACAUCUAAAGCAUGGAUCUUUGUGGUCAAUAUCAGCAGCCAAAAAGAGGGACUUUUCUCCAAAUCUUGCUUUAAUUCUGUGGCCUCUCUCCUUGGCUGCAGUGUGAUCCCUAUCAUUAAAGACUCCAACAACUGUUGUAACAGCGGAGUGGGAGAAAUUUGAGGGCUCAGAAUUGGCUUCUGCAGCUUCCUCCAUGUAUUUGAGGCAGAUUGCUUAAGAUCAACUUCUCCCCAGGACAGAUCAAAGAGGGAGUUGGCCUUGGACCCCUCAAAAAGCUGGGUGGGGUCCUCAGAGUAAUGGCCAGGUUUAGUCUGGGAGAGAUUUGACAUUGAAAGAGGCACCUCUGCUCUGAUUGUCUCUCCCUGAGAGUCUGCUGCUUCUCCCAGGGGGCAGAGGGUCAGUAUCCUGAGGAGGAGAAAAAAAAAAGCUGGGAGUCUCAGGAUCUGGUUCAGUAGCCUCAAAGUCGGUUCACUGAGAUCAGUGAGGAAAAAGAAGACUGACUCCCAUCAGACAAAACACAGCAUCCUCAAGAAAGUUGAAAUCACAGGAGUCUCUCUUUGCAUGGAAAAAGAAUGUGCUCAAAGAGAAGCCAACCCAGAACUUGAGAAGAUCAGUGAUGGGGAGUUCUUAAACUCAACAAAUAGGGUCUUAAAACUGAUCAGAGACCAACUAUCCUGGGAAUGGAUUCUUCCAGCUUUGGGAUUUGCUCAUGAGAAAAAUAUGUGAAAGAAAAUAUUUAGAGAUGGGGCUAUAAAGAUUAUUGAAGAAAGGUCUCCCUGUUGUUGUACCCUUUGAAGAAUUUUGUAAGAUAUUAAAAUGUUUAUUGGAAAUACUUUGUUGAAG
rnacentral:lncRNA from 1 species